AUCAACUUUCGAUGGUAGGAUAGAGGCCUACCAUGGUGGUGACGGGUGACGGAGGAUUAGGGUUCGAUUCCGGAGAGGGAGCCUGAGAAACGGCUACCACAUCCAAGGAAGGCAGCAGGCGCGCAAAUCACCCAAUCCCGACACGGGGAGGUAGUGACAAUAAAUAACAAUACAGGGUUCUUUUGGAUCUUGUAAUUGGAAUGAGUACGAUUUAAAUCUCUUAACGAGGAACAAUUGGAGGGCAAGUCUGGUGCCAGCAGCCGCGGUAAUUCCAGCUCCAAUAGCGUAUAUUAAAGUUGUUGCAGUUAAAAAGCUCGUAGUUGAAUUUCGGGAUUGACACAUCGGUCGUGCCUUAAGGGGUAUGAACUGGUGUAGUCAAUUUCUCACCUUCUGGAGAACGGCGAUGCCCUUAAUUGGGUGUCGCGGGGAACCAGGACCUUUACUUUGAAAAAAUUAGAGUGUUUAAAGCAGGCAUUUUGCUUGAAUACAUCAGCAUGGAAUAAUAAAAUAGGACGGCAUGAUUCUAUUUUGUUGGUUUCUAGGAUCACCGUAAUGAUUAAUAGGGAUAGUCGGGACAUCAGUAUUCAAUUGUCAGAGGUGAAAUUCUUGGAUUUAUUGAAGACUAACUACUGCGAAAGCAUUUGCCAAGGAUGUUUUCAUUAAUCAAGAACGAAAGUUAGGGAUCGAAGACGAUCAGAUACCGUCGUAGUCUUAACCAUAAACUAUGCCGACUAGGGAUCGGAUGAUGUUAAUUUUUUAAUGACUCAUUUC
rnacentral:rRNA from 1 species